AACCACCUGUUCCCAUUCCGAACACAGCAGUGAAAUGCAGCCGCGCCGAUGGUAGUGCAACGUACGUUUGUGCGAGAGUAGGUCACUGCCAGGC
rnacentral:rRNA from 1 species